CCGUGUAAGUCUCUACCUGGCCAGGAUUGAGAAACUCUCUGUAAAGCAAAAGAACUCUGGCCGUGUACUUGGACUCGUGUAACCAGCAAUGCCCCAUGUAAUCUUCUGUGCCAAUACGAGAUGCAGUCUUCAAAGCUCCAGUAAGUUACACAGUCCUGGGCCGUGCAGUGACACACGAGCUGUGUAUUAGCCGACAGCCAGUUUCUUGAUUUGGCUCUAGCUCCAGUUUUUGAUAGAGAUAAGAGACUUCUACUGCUUCUGGGACUCUGAAAACCUAACCCUAUGCACUGAAUAUAAAUAGAAGCAG
rnacentral:misc_RNA from 1 species